rnacentral:rRNA from 1 species
CAGCCGCCGCGGUAAUACCAGCCCCGCGAGUGGUCGGGACGGUUAUUGGGCCUAAAGCGCCCGUAGCCGGCCCGGCAAGUCCCUCCUUAAAGCCUCGGGCCCAACCCGAGGACGGGGGGGAUACUGCCGGGCUAGGGGGCGGGAGAGGCCGGCGGUACUCCCGGGGUAGGGGCGAAAUCCGUUAAUCCCGGGAGGACCACCAGUGGCGAAGGCGGCCGGCUGGAACGCGCCCGACGGUGAGGGGCGAAAGCCGGGGGAGCGAACCGGAUUAGAUACCCGGGUAGUCCUGGCUGUAAACGAUGCGGACUUUGUGUCGGACAAGCUAUGAGCUUGUCCGGUGCCGGAGGGAAACCGUUAAGUCCGCCGCCUGGGGAGUACGGCCGCAAGGCUGAAACUUAAAGGAAUUGGCGGG